AACAGAAACCACACCAUUCUUGUCCCGUCGCAGCUGAUUAUAUUACGUGAUCCUGGACCCACAGCACAAAAGGCACGCCUGCAACCCAGGACAACUGUCCAGACUUCGUUUAUAGAUGACGUGCCUCUCAUAUUUCUACUGCAUCACAUAUCCCAGCAUGUAUUUUGAGUUUCACGGUUGCCUUUAAGACUGUAAGCAAGCAACACAUGCUACCGAUUGGCUUACCGCGGCAUUUAUAUUCUGUUUACCACCUCAAUACCUGCACCUCGGUAAAGGGACGCAAUACCACAGCAGAUGGCAUCGCUGCAGAACGACGACAUUGCAAAGGCUUGAAUGUAAAGAAGAAAAGCAUUAGGGAGACGCUGUGCAGGACACUGGAGGAGAAGCAAUUAGAGAGCCUGUGAAGAGAGAUUCACUGCCUGUCUUCCAAGACCUGGGGACUCUCCUUCUGAUUCCACCAAGAGUCUUCAAGUGAAUCUCAUCACCUGCCUUUCACCUUGAUGUUUCUCCGUGUUUGAGCUACUCCUGUUUAUUCAGCUGUUUUGUCUGAUUAUUCAUAACAGGGUGCUUCUGGGCCAGAGUUCAAUGGACACAAGCAGCUUUUUAACACUGCAGAUUUCUUUGUAUAUGAAAUCAAGACUUUUCCCCAUUAAAGCUUAUCUUUAGGUG